rnacentral:rRNA from 1 species
AGCAGCCGCGGUAAUUCCAGCUCCAAUAGCGUAUAUUAAAGUUGCUGCAGUUAAAAAGCUCGUAGUUGAAUUUCGGGAUCAAUAUGUUGGUCGUGCCUUGGUACGUACCAGCUUAUUGAUUUCUCCCUUCUGAUGAACCAUGAUGCCAUUAAUUUGGUGUCAUGGGGAAUUAGGACUGUUACUUUGAAAAAAUUGAGUGUUUAAAGCAGGCUCACGCUUGAAUACAUUAGCAUGGAAUAAUGAAAUAGGACAUUUGAUUCUAUUUUGUUGGUUUCUAGGAUCGAUGUAAUGAUUAAUAGGGAUAGUUGGAGGCAUUAGUAUUCAAUUGUCAGAGGU